AUGAACGCUGGCGGCGUGCCUAAUACAUGCAAGUCGAGCGCACAGAUGAGGAGCUUGCUCCUCUGACGUUAGCGGCGGCCGGGUGAGUAACACGUGGAUAACCUACCUAUAAGACUGGGAUAACUUCGGGAAACCGGAGCUAAUACCGGAUAAUAUAUUGAACCGCAUGGUUCAAUAGUGAAAGACGGUUUUGCUGUCACUUAUAGAUGGAUCCGCGCCGCAUUAGCUAGUUGGUAAGGUAACGGCUUACCAAGGCAACGAUGCGUAGCCGACCUGAGAGGGUGAUCGGCCACACUGGAACUGAGACACGGUCCAGACUCCUACGGGAGGCAGCAGUAGGGAAUCUUCCGCAAUGGGCGAAAGCCUGACGGAGCAACGCCGCGUGAGUGAUGAAGGUCUUCGGAUCGUAAAACUCUGUUAUUAGGGAAGAACAAAUGUGUAAGUAACUAUGCACGUCUUGACGGUACCUAAUCAGAAAGCCACGGCUAACUACGUG
rnacentral:rRNA from 1 species